UACGUAGGGUGCAAGCGUUGUCCGGAAUUAUUGGGCGUAAAGAGCUCGUAGGCGGUCUGUCGCGUCGGCUGUGAAAACCCGAGGCUCAACCUCGGGCCUGCAGUCGAUACGGGCAAACUAGAGUACUGCAGGGGAGACUGGAAUUCCUGGUGUAGCGGUGAAAUGCGCAGAUAUCAGGAGGAACACCGGUGGCGAAGGCGGGUCUCUGGGCAGUAACUGACACUGAGGAGCGAAAAGCGUGGGGAGCGAACAGG
rnacentral:rRNA from 1 species